UUGAGACUUGUCAAGCAAUAAAUGGCAUUAGUAGUAUUCUCCCUCCGCCCUGUUGAUCGCUUAGCUAUUGUGACUUACUCUUCAUCUGCUUCUUGCAUCUUUCUCUUGAAACACAUAAAAUCCCAUGGUAAGCAAACAGCUCUGACUCUGUAAGUUAUUGACAGUCUUUUCUUCGCGGGGCAAGCAGAACCGACUGAAGGCCUCAAGAAAGGUAUAAAGAUACUUAAAGAUCGUGCGCACAAGAAGUCCAAAUUCCUGUAUCUUGCAUCUCUCUGAUAGUCCAACAAGAUCAUACCAUGCCAUAAACAUGCAAUAUCCCAUUCCAAUCCAUCAGUUUCAUGUGGGAUUUGGCUUUGGAACUUCUAAUGGAUUUAUCAUGCAUGAGUUUGAAAAGUUCUUGGUGAGACUGCUUGGAGGUGUGAUAAGAGAUGUCAAAUUGAAAAUUGGAGAAGAAAGCAUGAUAGUAAUGCUUCGAGAGUAAGAGGCAAUGAAGAAGGGAGAAUUUUAUUAGAAUUGGGCAAUUCUGGACAUGUUUAUGUGGGGCACAGCUACAUUUAAGGCGGAGUUGAUUAGUGCACCAGAACGGGAGAAACUGUUGUUAGUUUAAGGGAUAAAAGGGAAGCACAUGAUCCUAACAUAGAUGCUGCUGUUACAGGGAGGGAAGCAAACAUAAUUGGAGGGAGGACAAGUAGCGUUAAGAGUUGGGAUUACCAUGAUCCUUACAUGGCUAGAAGAUAGGCUCAAAAAUUGCAUGGUUAUAGGCUCUGAAUUACGCGACCAAAACUUCACCAUACAUAUAUGCAUCCAUCAAUCAGAUCCACAAGAAGAUUUCAGUCAUUCUAUGUUAGCUUCCUAAUGGUUGAACAAGCAACUGUUAUUAAAC
rnacentral:misc_RNA from 1 species